rnacentral:tRNA from 1 species
CCCCUUAUGGUGAAACUGUAUAUCACGCGAACCUCCUAAGUUUGAGUUCUAGGUUAGAGUCCUAGUAAGGGGACCA